AUACGAUUCAUGUUAGGUGAUUGGGCAAUAUUGGAACUCAAACCAUACAUCCAACAAGCCUUGGCUAGUUUAUCAUAGCCAUAAUUCAGGAAGAUUAUGCUAAAGAUUUAGUUUAUACAGAAACGAAAAGAACAUUAUUCCAAGUCUGUCUUUAACUGACCACAAAGGGUUUAUGAAGUCUACAACCGACCAUACCAUGGAUGGCUAGAAAAAAAUAAAUUUGAAAAAAAAAAAUUCAAAGGACUUGCACAGCCUUAAAUUGCCGGUCUUAAAACGCACCCUCAGCUUUCUUUGAAAUGGAGAUUACAUUAAAGUUGAGGGAGUCGGGGUUUUUCUGGAUAAUGUCCCGUAUGACUUUAGCUGUAUCCUGUCUUGAGAUAAAACAUCAAUACGUAAGACUUCAAAGAUUACCUGCAUAUCGGACGCCUCAAUAGAAAUUUGAGAAAAAAAGAUUGUCACAUUAAUAAAUGCAACCUAUUAUGCUCAAUUGGGUUUGAAGCCACCAAGCCCACCUGAGAUCCAAGCAACAAUCUAAUGUUAUCAGGUUGGGUGUGAGAGAGAGAGAGAGAGAGAGA
rnacentral:misc_RNA from 1 species